CGAGGGUUGGGGGGCCCAGUGAAGAAAGUUGAUGCCAACAGAGGCCAUAUGAAGUGUGGACUCCAUGCAUCCCCUGCAUAUAUCCAAAAGGAGGCCUUCUCUGUUUCCUGUCUGCUUCACCACUGGGCUGUGAGCCUUAAAGGAUUUUAGAGUGAAGUGCCUACCAUGAGAGAGGCAUUCUAAUGGAUGCUUGGAUGUGAAAUGAACAAAGCAGGAAGCAUGGCACUGGAAUCUGCUUGGCUUCUGGGGAGCCCUCAGGAAGCUUACAAUCAUGGUGGAAGGCAAAGCAAGAGCCAACGUAUCACGCAGUGAGUUUUAAAGUUUUAAAAUUUUUUAAACUUUUAAACAACCAGAUCUUAUAUGAAUUCAGAUGGUGAUGGGGAUUGUGCUAAGCCAUUCAUGAGGGAUCUGCUCCCAUGAUCCAAACAUCUCCCACCAGGCCCCACCUCUGAUACUGGGGAUGACAUUUCUACAUGAGAUUUGGAGGAGACAAAUAUCCAAACCAUAUCAUUCUGUCCCCUGGUCCCCCAAAUCUCAUGUCUUUCUCAUAUUGCAAAAUACAAUUAUCCCUUCCCAACAGUCUCCCAACAUCUUAACUCAUUUCAACUCGUUAAUCAAGUCCAAAGUC
rnacentral:lncRNA from 1 species